rnacentral:rRNA from 1 species
AGUUGAUCUGGCUCAGGAUGAACGCUGGCGGCGUGCCUAACACAUGCAAGUCGAACGAAGCACUGCGGAUGGAGAUUCGUCAAAAUCUGCUUGACUUAGUGGCGGACGGGUGAGUAAUGUGUGAGCAACCUGCCUUUCAGAGGGGGACAACAGUUGGAAACGACUGCUAAUACCGCAUAAUGUAUUGGAAGGGCAUCCUUUUGAUACCAAAGGAGCAAUCCGCUGAAAGAUGGGCUCACAUCUGAUUAGCUAGUUGUGGGGUAACGGCCUACCAAGGCUGCGAUCAGUAGCCGGACUGAGAGGUUGAACGGCCACAUUGGGACUGAGAUACGGCCCAGACUCCUACGGGAGGCAGCAGUGGGGAAUAUUGGGCAAUGGGCGAAAGCCUGACCCAGCAACGCCGCGUGAAGGAAGAAGGUCUUCGGAUUGUAAACUUCUUUUAUGAGGGACGAAGGACGUGACGGUACCUCAUGAAUAAGCCACGGCUAACUACGUGCCAGCCGCCGC